AACGAACGCUGGCGGCAUGCCUAACACAUGCAAGUCGAACGAGACCUUCGGGUCUAGUGGCGCACGGGUGCGUAACGUGUGGGAACCUGCCCUUAGGUUCGGAAUAACUCCCCGAAAGGGGUGCUAAUACCGGAUAAUGUCUUCGGACCAAAGAUUUAUCGCCUUUGGAUGGGCCCGCGUUGGAUUAGCUAGUUGGUAGGGUAAAAGCCUACCAAGGCGACGAUCCAUAGCUGGUCUGAGAGGAUGAUCAGCCACACUGGGACUGAGACACGGCCCAGACUCCUACGGGAAGCAGCAGUGGGGAAUAUUGGACAAUGGGCGAAAGCCUGAUCCAGCAAUGCCGCGUGAGUGAUGAAGGCCUUAGGGUUGUAAAGCUCUUUUACCCGGGAUGAUAAUGACAGUACCGGGAGAAUAAGCUCCGGCUAACUCCGUG
rnacentral:rRNA from 1 species